GAUCCACUACUCAGUUGGUAGAGUACAAAGCUCUUAACCUUGUGGACGUGGGUUCAAGCCCCAUG
rnacentral:tRNA from 1 species